rnacentral:rRNA from 1 species
GAUGAACGCUGGCGGCGUGCCUAAUACAUGCAGUCGAGCGGACGGACGAGAAGCUUGCUUCUCUGAUGUUAGCGGCGGACGGGGGAGUAACACGGGGAUAACCUACCUAUAAGACUGGGAUAACUUCGGGAAACCGGAGCUAAUACCGGAUAAUAUUUUGAACCGCAUGGUUCAAAAGUGAAAGACGGUCUUGCUGUCACUUAUAGAUGGAUCCGCGCUGCAUUAGCUAGUUGGUAAGGUAACGGCGUACCAAGGCAACGAUGCAUAGCCGACCUGAGAGGGUGAUCGGCCACACUGGAACUGAGACACGGUCCAGACUCCUACGGGAGGCAGCAGUAGGGAAUCUUCCGCAAUGGGCGAAAGCCUGACGGAGCAACGCCGCGUGAGUGAUGAAGGUCUUCGGAUCGUAAAACUCUGUUAUUAGGGAAGAACAUAUGUGUAAGUAACUGUGCACAUCUUGACGGUACCUAAUCAGAAAGCCACGGCUAACUACGUG